rnacentral:rRNA from 1 species
CCUACGGGUGACAGCAGUGGGGGAUAUUGCACAAUGGGGGAAACCCUGAUGCAGCGACGCCGCGUGUGGGAAGACGGUCCUCUGGAUUGUAAACCACUGUCCCCAGGGACGAAGAUGACGGUACCUGGGGAGAAAGCUCCGGCAAACUACGUGCCGGCAGCCGCGGUAAUACGUAGGGAGCGAGCGUUGUACGGAAUUACUGGGUGUAAAGGGAGCGUAGGCGGGGAUGCAAGUUGGGUGUCAAAACUACCGGCUCAACUGGUAGUCGCACGCAAAACUGCAGCUCUUGAGUGAAGUAGAGGCAGGCGGAAUUCCUAGUGUAGCGGUGAAAUGCGUAGAUAUUAGGAGGAACACCAGUGGCGAAGGCGGCCUGCUGGGCUUUUACUGACGCUGAGGCUCGAAAGUGUGGGGAGCAAACAGGAUUAGAUACCCUUGUAGUC